rnacentral:tRNA from 5 species
GCGGGAAUAGCUCAGUUGAUAGAGCAUUAGCCUUCCAAGCUGAGGGUCGCGGGUUUGAGUCCCGUUUCCCGCUCUA